rnacentral:rRNA from 1 species
UACGAAGGGUGCAAGCGUUACUCGGAAUUACUGGGCGUAAAGCGUGCGUAGGCGGUUCGUUAAGUCUGUCGUGAAAGCCCUGGGCUCAACCUGGGAAUUGCGAUGGAUACUGGCGAGCUAGAGUACGGUAGAGGAUGGUGGAAUUCCCGGUGUAGCGGUGAAAUGCGUAGAGAUCCGGAAGAACACCGGUGGCGAAGGCGGCCUGCUGGGCAGUUUGGCUGACACUGAGGCGCGACAGCGUGGGGAGCAAACAGG